CCCUGAAGUCUUUUCCAGUUCGCGGCGUUUACAGAAAUCCAUGUGACGUUUUUUGUCGCUUUUAUCCCCGUUUAUUCGACAGUGAAUGACGUAACCGCAGACCUCCCACGGCGGCCUGAGGCAGGUCCACUCUGAUUGGGUAAAAUAUUCUAAUGUGUUCUGAAAAUAAGAGGUUUUUAUUCAGGGAUUUGUUUUUACAUGAACGCUCGUCUCUCGUUAGCCUCGCUGAUUCUUUCUGCUUUUUAUUUCGCUGUGAAAUCUGACAGAUUUAAUCCUAAAAACCAAACGCAGAUGUGUUUAGGGACCGUCUUUAAAUAUGAUCCUAACCCUCCUGAUGACAAACCGAUUAUUUCUCCUUUAUUUAAUUUGAACAAACAUUAAAGUUUUUGUUGGAGUGGAUCGUCAGUGAACUGUCCACAGACUUAUUUAAUACUUUCAGGAGAGACACAAACCUCUCGUCGGAUUGACCGAAGCCGACUGAACUUUCUUCUUCUUUCCUCCCACUUUGUAAAUUAAAUCGUGAUUGGACGAAAACAGAAGUGAUUUUCUUUUGAUGGCGACUGAACGAAGUUUUUAGUCGUAGGAAAAAAACAAAAAGCUCAAAAGGCCGAAAACAAUUUAAUUGAAGAAGAAGAAAAAGCUGAUCUGUCUGAAGAUUAUGACUUAAGAGAUCAGGAGGGUUACGCUCCCAACAGUUGACCUUAAUACCCAAACACUGAGGAGGCCACCCACUAAAAUCAACAUUCUUACCCUCUUCCACUUUUUUUCAGGCAUCUGGCCGACCUGAUCCAGAUUACGGGGGGAGAGGGGGCGGGAUCAGGCAACGCCAGUGUGUCACGACUACAAGUGUCAGCAGCGUAAGAAUAAAGAAGGCGGGGAACAUGUGAAGUGACGGUCAGCGUUAAACUGAGACAACAGGACUGAGGAGUGUCAGGACUGAGGAGUGGGAGUUUCCAUUUAAGGUUUAUUGACAUUAUUAAUGCGGCGGACAUUUCAACAAAGACCGACGCCGCCGACGCAAGAAGAGGAGAAACCCGCCGUGACGAGAAGGACUGACGGUUUCAGAGAACAUACACGUCAGUGUGAUCUGUCACGGCGCCCUCAGUCUGAAGACUCAGACGGACUCUCAGGUCUCAAGACCCAAGAGAUCCACCUGGAGAGGUGCAGGUGUCUCACCGAAUACAUCUGCGUUAUAUUAACAUCAACUUCACCGACGACACAGAAUCAGAGAUACUUAAAUAAUCUCCAGGAGGGAAACGGCUUCACGUUACAGUGACUCUGCUGCUAAUACAGGAGAAAGAGGAGAUCAAUAAGAGAUCAAUAAAAGAUCAAUAAGAGAUCAAUAAGAGAUCAAUAAGAGAUAAAAUAAGUAAAGUUAAGAGAUAAAGUACAAGUAUGUUCACUGCAUACAACACAGAACAGUAAAAUAGUGUUGUAUUUGUUGUACACAGUUCUUAGUCUAUGUUCACUCUGCAGGUCAGAUUUUUAGUUCAAUCCGAUCUUUCUGUGCGUCAACAAAUGUGUCCGUGAAGUGACCCUCAUGAACACAAAUAUCUUUCCGCUCCUGUUUGUGUUGUUGAACAAUGGUGACGUUUGUCUCAUAUUGAUGAUGUAAAGGUCGGAUAAACGCGACCUGAGCGUCACACUGCAGUCACAUCAGAUACAUAUCUGAUUUAUAUCCACAUACAGAAGAGUUUGAGUAACUCUGAUUGGCUGACUGAGAUAACCAAUCCCAGACUGAUCCAUCAGACUAAAUCUAACCAACCACAGAAUAUCAACCAAUCAGAACCAACGUAAG